GUGGGGAAUAUUCCGCAAUGGACGAAAGUCUGACGGAGCAACGCCGCGUGAGUGAUGAAGGUUUUCGGACUGUAAAGCUCUGUUGUUUAGGACGAAAGUGCCUGUUGCAAAUAGUUACAGGUAUUGACGGUACUGAACGAGGAAGCCACGGCUAACUACGUGCCAGCAGCCGCGGUAAUACGUAGGUGGCAAGCGUUGUCCGCAAUUAUUGGGCGUAAAGAGCAUGUAGGCGGGAAUCUAAGUCUGUUGUGAAAAUGCGGGGCUCAACCCCGUAUUGCGAUGGAAACUGGGUUUCUUGAGUGCAGGAGAGGAAAGGGGAAUUCCCAGUGUAGCGGUGAAAUGCGUAGAUAUUGGGAGGAACACCAGUGGCGAAGGCGCCUUUCUGGACUGUGUCUGACGCUGAGAUGCGAAAGCCAGGGUAGCGAACGGGAUUAGAUACCCGAGUAGUCC
rnacentral:rRNA from 1 species